rnacentral:rRNA from 1 species
UGGGGAAUUUUGGACAAUGGGCGAAAGCCUGAUCCAGCAAUGCCGCGUGUGUGAAGAAGGCCUUCGGGUUGUAAAGCACUUUUUGUCCGGAAAGAAAUCCUUGGCUCUAAUACAGUCGGGGGAUGACGGUACCGGAAGAAUAAGCACCGGCUAACUACGUGCCAGCAGCCGCGGUAAUACGUAGGGUGCAAGCGUUAAUCGGAAUUACUGGGCGUAAAGCGUGCGCAGGCGGUUUGCUAAGACCGAUGUGAAAUCCCCGGGCUCAACCUGGGAACUGCAUUGGUGACUGGCAGGCUAGAGUAUGGCAGAGGGGGGUAGAAUUCCACGUGUAGCAGUGAAAUGCGUAGAGAUGUGGAGGAAUACCGAUGGCGAAGGCAGCCCCCUGGGCCAAUACUGACGCUCAUGCACGAAAGCGUGGGGAGCAAAACAGGAUUAGAUACCCUGGUAGUCCACGCCCUAAACGAUGUCAACUAGUUGUUGGGGAUUCAUUUCCUUAGUAACGUAGCUAACGCGUGAAGUUGACCGCCUGGGGAGUACGGUCGCAAGAUUAAAACUCAAAU